UCAAUUAUUUAUAGCCUCUGGCUAUAGGAAAUUGUUAGUGGCAGACGGGUGAGUAAUGCGUAGGAAUCUACCUAGUAGUACGGAAUAGCCAUUAGAAAUGGUGGGUAAUACUGUAUAAUCCCCGAGGGGGAAAGAUUUAUCGCUAUUAGAUGAGCCUACGUUAGAUUAGCUAGUUGGUGAGGUAAUGGCUUACCAAGGCUAUGAUCUAUAGCUGGUCUGAGAGGACGAUCAGCCACACUGGAACUGAGAUACGGUCCAGACUCCUACGGGAGGCAGCAGUGGGGAAUAUUGGACAAUGGGCGAAAGCCUGAUCCAGCUAUGCCGCGUGAGUGAAGAAGGCCUUCGGGUUGUAAAACUCUUUCAAUAGGGAACGAUAAUCCGGUACCUAUAAA
rnacentral:rRNA from 1 species